CAGUAGNUAUCCUGUGUUUGNNUUACUNCAGAUANCCCGGUAAUUGUGCAGCAGCGCGUAUCAGAGGGGCAANGNUAUUGGAUUACUGGGUAAAGCNGGUAGUGGUCUGUUAAGUUGGANUGAAGCCCGGACUCAACCUGGGAANUGCANCCAGAUCUGGCGAGCUAGANUACGGUAGAGGUGGUNGAAUUUCCUGUUAGCGGUGAAUGNGUAGAUAUUGGAAGGAACUCCAGUGGCGAAGGCGACCACUUGGACUGAUUCUGACAGUGAAGUGCGAAAGCGUGGGGAGCCAACAGGAUUAGAUUCCCUGGUAGUUCCCGCCGUAAACGAUGUUAACUAGCCGUUGGAAUCCUUGAGAUUUUAGUGGCGCAGGUAACGCAUUAAGUAGCCGCCUGGGGAGNUCGGCUGCAAGGUUAAAACUNAAAUAAUUNACGGGGGCCCGCACAAGCGGGGGAGCAUGUGGUUUAAUUUGAAGCAACGGGAAGAACCUUUCCAGGCCUUGACAAGCAGAGAACUUUCCAGAGAAGGAUUGGUGCCUUUGGGAAAUCUGACACAGGUGGUGCAUGGCUGUUGUCAGCUUGUGUUGUGAGAAGUUGGGUUAAGUCCCGUAACGAGCGCAACCCUUGUCCUUAGUUACCAGCCAGUUAUGGUGGGCACUUUAAGGAGACUGCCGGUGACAAACCGGAGGAAGGUGGGGAUGACGUCAAGUCAUCAUGGCCCUUACGGCCUGGGCUACACACGUGCUACAAUGGUCGGUACAAAGGGUUGCCAAGCCGCGAGGUGGAGCUAAUCUCACAAAACCGAUCGUAGUCCGGAUCGCAGUCUGCAACUCGACUGCGUGAAGUCGGAAUCGCUAGUAAUCGCGAAUCAGAAUGUCGCGGUGAAUACGUUCCCGGGCCUUGUACACACCGCCCG
rnacentral:rRNA from 1 species